UGUUGGGAACAACCAAGUACAUACAACUCCAUCAGGACCAUUCUCAGUGGGAAACAACAAUAAGUACUGUAUAUCCUUCAUUUGUGCAACAACUAUGGAAUCUACUACUGUAAGUCAUAUACAGUUCUUCUAGAAAAGCAGAGUU